ACGUGACUUUAUCGAAAGAACCAAACAGUAUGUAUUCCUGCAGUCACGAAAGCUUCAAAUCAAGAGUGUUAAUGUUGAUGCUAACAAACGUUGUUAGAAGAAGAAAAAAAAGACCAACAACAACCCCGUGUCUCUUCACAUUUUGAAACACUAGCAUGCACUGAAGACGGAUUGCUUUCAGAAUAAGCUAACGCCGCCUUGAGAGCAGAGAAGAAGUUGGCUACACUCCGUUCCCCGAAUGUCCUUUUGAAAGUGCUGCGGUGUAACAUCAAUUAUUAAGUGGACAAGCGUUGCAGCCGGAGUGAACGAGUCUGUGAAACCACUGGAUGAACGUUGAGAUGUAUAAGGGCAUGGGGGUGACUAAUAAGGUCUGUAAUAAGGUAGGUACUGAUAAUGGCUUGACAGUUAUGCAAGUAUGACAUUUUCUGAGCUUUUAUUCAAUUUGUCAGUGUCCAUGUUUCUUGAUCGAUACCCUGGCAGAAUGUAUAAUCAGAAUCUUCAUUUCGACUGGAGGAAUCCGAUGACCCACGAAGCACUUUUUCGCAGAUGUCCAGCAG